rnacentral:ncRNA from 1 species
AUCUUCGGGGCGGGGUGAAAAUCCCCACCGGCAGUAUAGUCUGCGACCUGCAUGGCAGUUGAUUUGGUGAAAUUCCAAAACCGACAGUAUAGUCUGGAUGAGAGAAGAG